AAAAAAAUGUACUCGCACAUAGGGAAAAAUGGGGAAAAUCCGAUUGUACGCAAGUUUUGUAUUUUCAUUCGAUUUCACAUAUUUCCAUAAGCCAAAAUUCUAAAUUUUCAAAAUAUGCUUGACAAUUUUUUUUUAAUAUGCACACUCUGGCUGAAAUUUCAUGUAUGUUGGUUUUGAUGAGAUCCUCUAAAGAUUUAUCCAAAAAUAGUUUGCCCACGUUCACUGGAUGCGCGGUAAAAUAAAACAAACAAAUGGAUAUUUCUGAAGAGCCCGACAUUAAUUACAGGUGUAAACACAAUUUGUCCGCUUUACUUAAACUACAAUAGAAAAUACAGAUUCAGAGGCACGACUAAGAGAGUUUUGGUUCAAGUGUUGAAAGGCCAACCAGUUUUGCUUAAGAGAGUCAUAAAUACAAUUCACUUUUAUACACAAAUUAAAUACAAAACAAUGACAAAUAUACAGUUCAGAUUCUACUGACUGUGAUUCCUGAUGAUUUCAAUUUCAAUUUCCCCCAGCUGAUUCACUCGUGCUUCAGCUCUGGCUGCAGAUCAAACCAGGACUUAAGGCCAGCGGGCGUUGUAAUCUCGCUGUCAUCCAAAGGUAAUUUAAGCUGCAAAAGAACCAUCCAAAGAAAAUUAGUUAAACAAAAACACAAACAAACAGAACCUAAGAUUGCAUACAAAUUUAAAGAGAAAAUAAUAAUACCCUUGGCAAAGGUAUAUUUGUACAAAAAAAUGUGGAACGCUUCACGAUUUUGCGUGUCAUCCUUGCGCAGGGGCCAUGCUAAUCUUCUCUGUAUCGUUCCAAUUUUAGUAUAUGUUCUGCCGAAGCAAGAACGAGUGUAGACCAAAAAAGCAACUAUAUAAAUGCACUUGAGGCCAAAGAAGCUGUUGGGAAUUACAAGCGAGCGGCUGCUGGCGUGCUCAGGUAGUCAACUAGGGGUUGGUUUUUGACCUGCUCACUCACCAUGCCAAUGAUGGGACUGCCGCUGGAUAGGAACCCCUUCUGUGUGCAGACAGUAACCUCGAGUGCCGUGUGCCUCAGCUCGGCAAUAGAGAUGAGGUACUCAAAGGAUGCAUCGUAGACGGGAUUGCAGUUGUCCUUGAUGAUGCUGGUCUUGCGCUUGGACUCCUUGCUGCGACCAGGCAGCAAAUACAGCUUGACAUAUGGGUCCGGUAUGCUGCUAGGGUCACGCAACGGUAUAUUCAUUAUCUUGUGUAUGGUCACAUCGAGCUUCUGGCGCUGGGCCGAGUACGUGAUGGACAGCUGAAUGCGACCCAGCCCAUGUUCCCCAGCAGUUGAGGUCGUCUCGGGCAUACGAUGUGUCAGCACCGAGCUGACCACCUCGCUAAUUGGCUUCUCCAGCGAUGCGGAUGCCGGGAUCACUGGCGCACUCUUGACGGCCUCCUCCUCGCUGAUCGGUGACUCUGCGGAAAGACGUUUGCUCUUCGCCUGAUCGUCCUAAGAAAUGGCCGAAUUAAUAACGGAUUAAACAGCUUUAAAACAGGAUGAAAAUUAUGCAGGAUGAAAAUUAUGAUUGAAAGUUACGGCAAUUUUCAAUUAGAUACAAGCAGGAAUGCUGCAUUAGAGUGUGCUCGACUACGAAAGCCCCUGUAGCCCACAGACGGCGCGUGGCGAAUUCAGAAUGUUUAUGCUUAUACGCGGAAGGCAUAAAUAUAUUUUAAAGAUUUGAAUACCUUCGA